rnacentral:rRNA from 1 species
AAGGAAUAUUGGACAAUGGUCGCAAGACUGAUCCAGCCAUGCCGCGUGCAGGAAGACGGCCCUAUGGGUUGUAAACUGCUUUUGUACCAGAGAAAACCUAUCUACGUGUAGAUAGCUGAUAGUAUGGUAAGAAUAAGCAUCGGCUAACUUCGUGCCAGCAGCCGCGGCAAGACGAAGGAUGCAAGCGUUAUCCGGAUUCAUUGGGUUUAAAGGGUGCGUAGGCGGGCUUGUAAGUCAGUGGUGAAAUCUCUCAGCUUAACUGAGAAACUGCCAUUGAUACUGCAGGCCUAGAGUAUAGAUGACGUUGGCGGAAUAUGACAUGUAGUGGUGAAAUACUUAGAUAUGUCAUAGAACACCGAUUGCGAAGGCAGCUAACGAAACUAUAACUGACGCUGAGGCACGAAAGUGCGGGGAUCAAACA